rnacentral:rRNA from 1 species
UAGUCCAUGCCCUAAACGAUGUCAACUAGUUGUCGGGCCUUUACGGGCUUGGUAACGUAGCUAACGCGUGAAGUUGACCGCCUGGGGAGUACGAUCGCAAGAUUAAAACUCAAAUGAAUUGACGGGGACCCGCACAAGCGGUGGAUUAUGUGGAUUAAUUCGAUGCAACGCGAAAACCUUACCUACCCUUGACAUGUAUCGAAGCCCGCAGAAAGCGGAGGUGCCCGAAAGGGAACGAUAACACAGGUGCUGCAUGGCUGUCGUCAGCUCGUGUCGUGAGAUGUUGGGUUAAGUCCCGCAACGAGCGCAACCCUUGUCAUUAAUUGCCAUCAUUUAGUUGGGCACUUUAAUGAGACUGCCGGUGACAAACCGGAGGAAGGUGGGGAUGGACGUCAAGUCCUCAUGGCCCUUAUGGGGUAGGGGCUUCACACGUAAUACAAUGGGCGCGUACAGGAGGGGUU